rnacentral:tRNA from 1 species
GCGCAUUUGGGUAGAGCGUCUGAUUUUGGAUCAGAAGGUUGCGGGUUCGAGCCCCGCAAGGCGCC